GGAAGGCAGAAUCUGUUUCCCAUGUAAGCCAUGUGGAAGCCCCUUGCUUUUGAUGCCAUAUGUUUUCAUGAUCACAGUGAUUUGCUUUGGUUUGCUUUCAUUUACCUCCUAGAAAUAUGAGAGUCAGGGGAAAUGAGACUCCUUUAGCUUCCCCAUAGAGUUUUCUGCUGAGGACAUGGAUCACACCAGGAUAUUCAGUCCUAUUGGGGUGGUGAAGAAAGAGAAAAUCUGACUGCUUUCAAGGACCCAAGAAUAAAACUUAGCUGGAUGGACCAUAAUUUUAUCCAGAUAUAGUGGAGAUCCUCACUCAAGCUUUCUGCCUGCCUCCUAUUUUUCAAAGAAAGAAUCUUCUCCAGAGAUAAAUGACAUUUUAUCUUACACUUCUCUUUAGAGUGUUGGAGAUGGGAGAACUUUUCUUAAAUGAGUAAGAACAACCUUCUCAAAGGCAGAAUUAAUCCCAUUCUCUGAAGAAACAAGCUUUAGGAAUUCCAUCUUCCUCUCCAUCAGAUGUAUGCACAGAUGCCACCUCCUCCUUUUCUCUGAUUCCCCUCUCAGGUGAGAGAGAUACCUGGCUGAUAGAUCACAGUGUAACUCAGACCAUCUGAAAUCAAAGUAAAUUUUGAAAUAAACUAUAUUUGAGCUC